rnacentral:rRNA from 1 species
UGAGUACGAGACGCUAAGGCGUCGAAGUAGUGGAUGUCAUACUUCCAAGAAAAGCUUGCACUGUCAUAAAUAAAAGACGCCUGUACCAUAACCGACACAGGUGGGUAGGUAGAGUAUACUAAGGGGCGCGAGAUAACUCUCUCUAAGGAACUCGGCAAAAUGACUCCGUAACUUCGGGAGAAGGAGUGCCUUAUUCGUAAGGCUGCAAUAACAAGAUCCAAGCAACUGUUUAUCAAAAACACAGGUCUCCGCUAAGUCGUAAGACGAUGUAUGGGGGCUGACGCCUGCCCAGUGCCAGAAGGUUAAAGAAGUCGGUUAGCAUUAGCGAAGCUGGUAACUGAAGCCCUGGUGAACGGCGGCCGUAACUAUAACGGUCCUAAGGUAGCGAAAUUCCUUGUCGGGUAAGUUCCGACCCGCACGAAAGGCGUAAUGAUUUGGAUACUGUCUCGGAGAGGGGCUCGGUGAAAUAGACUUGUCUGUGAAGAUGCGGACUACCUGCACCAGGACAGAAAGACCCUAUGAAGCUUUACUGUAACUUGAAAUUGAAAUUGGACUUUAUUCGCGCAGUAUAGGUGGGAGGUGUUGAUUAUAAUCUUGCGGGAUUAUUGGAGCCAUCAGUGAGAUACCACUCUUGUAAUGUUAGAUUUCUAACUUUGAAUCAUUAUCUGGUCAAAGAACAGUUUCAGGCGGGCAGUUUGACUGGGGCGGUCGCCUCCUAAAUGGUAACGGAGGCGUACAAAGGUUUCCUCUGAACGGGUAGAAAUCGUAUCUAGAGUGUAAAGGCAUAAGGAAGCUUGACUGUGAGACCUACAAGUCGAGCAGGGACGAAAGUCGGUCUUAGUGAUCUGACGGUACUGAGUGGAAAGGCCGUCACUCAACGGAUAAAAGUUACUCUAGGAUAACAGGCUGAUCUCCCCCAAGAGUUCACAUCGACGGGGAGGUUUGGCACCUCGAUGUCGGCUCAUCGCAUCCUGGGGCGGUAGUACGUCCCAAGGGUUGGGCUGUUCGCCCAUGAAAGCGGUACGCGAGCUGGGUUCAGAACGUCGUGAGACAGUUCGGUCCAUAUCCGGUGUAGGCGUUAGAAUAUUGAGAGGAGCCUUCUUUAGUACGAGAGGACCGAGAAGGACAUACCUCUGGUGUACCAGUUAUCGUGCCAACGGUAAACGCUGGGUAGCUAUGUAUGGAGUGGAUAACCGCUGAAAGCAUCUAAGUGGGAAGCCCACCUCAAGAUAAGUAUUCUCAUC